GAAAUGCGAUAAGUAAUGUGAAUUGCAGAAUUCCGUGAAUCAUCGAAUCUUUGAACGCACAUUGCGCCCUCUGGUAUUCCGGGGGGCAUGCCUGUCCGAGCGUCAUUGCGAACCCCUCAAGCACGGCUUGUGUGAUGGGCCCUCCCGCGUCUUGGUCGUCAAGACGGGCCCGAAAUGCAGUGGCGGCUUCGCGGUUAUCCGAUCAGCCAGAGCGUAUGGGGACUUUCUCUCUGUCACACGCCCGCGGCGCAGACCGACGCCUGUCGACCUUCAUUCAUCGUUUUCUCGGUUGACCUCGGAUCAGGUAGGGAUACCCGCUGAACUUAAGC
rnacentral:misc_RNA from 1 species